UGCUUGCUCCGUGNGUUAGCGGCGGUUGGGCGAGUGGAUGGGGGCCUCCUUACUGUAAGACUGGGAUAACUUCGGGAAACCGGAGCUAAUACCGGAUAAUCCAUUCCCUCUCCUGAGGGAAUGCUGAAAGACGGUUUCGGCUGUCACUUACAGAUGGGCCCGCGGCGCAUUAGCUAGUUGGUGGGGUAAUGGCUCACCAAGGCGACGAUGCGUAGCCGACCUGAGAGGGUGAUCGGCCACACUGGGACUGACACACGGCCCACACUCCUACGGGAGGCAGCAGUAGGGAAUCUUCCGCAAUGGACGAAAGUCUGACGGACCAACGCCGCGUGAGUGAUGAAGGUUUUCGGAUCGUAAAACUCUGUUGUCAGGGAAGAACAAGUAUUGGAGUAACUGCCAGUACCUUGACGGUACCUGACCAGAAAGCCACGGCUAACUACGUGCCAGCAGCCGCGGUAAUACGUACGUGGCAAGCGUUGUCCGGAAUUAUUGGGCGUAAAGCGCGCGCAGGCGGUUUCUUAAGUCUGAUGUGAAAGCCCACGGCUCAACCGUGGAGGGUCAUUGGAAACUGGGAAACUUGAGUGCAGAAGAGGAGAGCGGAAUUCCACGUGUAGCGGUGAAAUGCGUAGAGAUGUGGAGGAACACCAGUGGCGAAGGCGGCUCUCUGGUCUGUAACUGACGCUGAGGCGCGAAAGCGUGGGGAGCGAACAGGAUUAGAUACCCUGGUAGUCCACGCCGCAAACGAUGAGUGCUAAGUGUUANAGGGUUUCCGCCCUUUAGUGCUGCAGCAAACGCAUUAAGCACUCCNCCUGGGGAGUACGGNCGCAAGGCUGAAACUCAAGGAAUUGACGGGGGCCCGCACAAGCGGUGGAGCAUGUGGUUUAAUUNGAAGCAACGCGAGAACCUUACCAGGUCUUGACAUCCUCUGACAUCCUGGAGACAGGACGUUCCCCUUCGGGGGACAGAGUGACAGGUGGUGCAUGGUUGUCGUCAGCUCGUGUCGUGAGAUGUUGGGUUAAGUCCCGCAACGAGCGCAACCCUUGAUCUUAGUUGCCAGCAUUCAGUUGGGCACUCUAAGGUGACUGCCGGUGACAACCCGGAGGAAGGUGGGGAUGACGUCAAAUCAUCAUGCCCCUUAUGACCUGGGCUACACACGUGCUACAAUGGAUGGUACAAAGGGCUGCGAAACCGCGAGGUGGAGCGAAUCCCAUAAACCCAUUCUCAGUUCGGAUUGCAGGCUGCAACUCGCCUGCAUGAAGCCGGAAUCGCUAGUAAUCGCGGAUCAGCAUGCCGCGGUGAAUACGUUCCCGGGCCUUGUACACACCGCCCGUCACACCACGAGAGUUUGUAACACCCGAAGUCGGUGGGGUAACCUUUGGAGCCAGCCGCCU
rnacentral:rRNA from 1 species